AUUGAACGCUGGCGGCAGGCCUAAUACAUGCAAGUCGAGCGGACGAACGGAGCUUGUUCCUGGCUUCAGCUACCGACGGGCGAGUAAUGCCUAGGAAUCUGCCUUGUCGUGGGGGCUAACGUACGGUAACGGACGCUAAUAUCGCACCCGUCCAGAGGGUGAACCGGAGGGAUCUUCAGUCCUAACGCUUUCUGCUGACACUAGGUCGGAUUAGCUAGUUGGUAGGGUAAAGGCCUACCAAGGCGACGAUCCGUAACUGGUCUGAGAGGAUGAUCAGUCACACUGGAACUGAGACACGGUCCAGACUCCUACGGGAGGCAGCAGUGGGGAAUAUUGGACAAUGGGCGAAAGCCUGAUCCAGCCAUGCCGCGUGUGUGAAGAAGGUCUUCGGAUUGUAAAGCACUGUAAGUAGGGAGGAAGAGAAGUGUGUGAAAACCUUGAUGUUUUGACGUUACCAAAAGAGUAAGCACCGGCUAACUUCGUG
rnacentral:rRNA from 1 species